GACGAACCGUCCAAACGUUAUUCGGAAUUACUGGGCUUAAAGGGUGCGUAGGCGGCGCGGUAAGUUGGGUGUGAAAUCCCUCGGCUCAACCGAGGAAUUGCGCUUGAUACUGCCGUGCUCGAGGGAGACAGAGGUGAGCGGAACUUAGGGUGGAGCGGUGAAAUGCGUUGAUAUCCUAAGGAACACCAGUGGCGAAAGCGGCUCACUGGGUCUCUUCUGACGCUGAGGCACGAAAGCUAGGGGAGCGAACGGG
rnacentral:rRNA from 3 species